UGCAGAAUUUGAAGUCUGUCAAGAUUUUUAGAAUAAGUGAGAGCAGUACUGUGUUUGACAUACAAGUGAAGUUUAACACAAAUGUCACAGUGGAGUUGGAAGCACAGUUGAGUACAGUUCUACAGAACAUUUACCAAACAGGAGUACAGUUACAGGGAACAAAAUAUUCUGUACUAGAAAACCCAGUUACAUCAGUACCUUAUAAACCCGCCCCUUGUUUAUUUUGUCUAUCCACUGAAAAGUGUCAUAUCCAGGUGAAUUACAACUAUGUUUGCAG